CUCUAGCCCUGAUAAUAGUGGAAAGCCCGGAGUCUCGCUGAUUUAAUUUUUUUGUGUUUGAAAAGCGACUGAAAGAAGCUCUUUCAAACACUUAAAAAAUUUAUCAGCGAGAUGAGGACUUGUAACGGAUAGCAGGAUUAGCU
rnacentral:sRNA from 1 species